UCCUCCUAUAACUUAUUAACUCUUAGUAAGUCCUCAAUAUAACUUACAUUUAAGUUCAAUCAUCAAUCAAAUUGAUAAUUAAGAUCACUUACAAUUUAUGAUUUCAAAUCAUGAUUCAACGAUUUGAUUAGCCAAGACCUUUUUUAUGUGUGACCCCAUAAAUUCUAUUAUGUCUGGUAGUGAGAAAUAUUUUAAUCUCCAUCAAAAUAUCAUUGAAACUUCUUUCAAUGGAUUGAAAUAAUUUCAACUCACCAAUCGAGAAUUAUUGACCAUCAAAAUAAUUCUCGUUGGUCCCACAAUCCACCAAUGAUGCCUAGCAGCAGUAGUGGCAACCCAACAGAACAGAAAGACGAACAUGUAGGUGUAGUUACCGUGUGAUUCAGUUCUUCUAUCGUGAGUUCCGACAAGAUGGAGGUUAUUGAAAAUUCGCCAAACUCCAACGUCUAUCAUAUGUAAGAUUUAAUUAGCUCAAAUUUAAAUCGUGAAAUCUCAUGAAAACCCUUUUCCAUAAUUUACUAUGCCAUGGCCACAGUCUUAUGAACUUGAUUUCAUAAAUUAUAUAGGACUACUCCUUAACUACUAAAAUCAAUAGAUCCCUUCUAAGUGUGCAUCCUACUUCUACAGCGAAUCUACUGUAGCCAAUAUACACAGCGAGGACCCAAAUGACUAGAAGAUCAAGUUUAUGUGCAAUCAAAUUACAGCAACCUCACUGUGAAUAGUCGAGGCACUGCAGGUGUAAGAACCACUCAUACAACUACAGCAUAGAGAAUGUCACUGACAAAUGAGUAGAUAUCCAAAUGACUUCUCAUAUUGGUCACGCUCAGUACAGUUGUUCUCUAACAACCAUCUGCACUCUUGCUCCAGUAUCUCCAUACUGUAGACUCGAGACUCAUCUAUCUUAAGAAAAAUGAUCCAUACACCGAUCAGAUCAAUCACCGUCUCUGUGAUGAUCCAUCGAUCGGAAGCAAUUUAGAAAUUAACCAUCAAUGACACAUGUCUCAAAUUCUCAAUUCUUGAGAAUAUGUAUCAUCAUCUUGUUAAUUUUCUGGAUGAUUAAUGGACACAUACACUACAUGAAUGGAAUUUACUGUAUUAAUUAAUUAGGUUGAGUAUAAAAUUAUAUUCUAGAAAGAAUUAAUGGAUCGGCCUGAUUGGCUUUUAGCGCAUACAACUAACACAAAUGACAUGCAACCUAGAAUCAGGGAAAGAGUUGAUAACUGAGGGGGCAACAACUUAGUAUUGCCCCCGGUCAUCCUCUCACAUGCUGUCCAUCUCUUCAUUUAAGAUCAGCUUUCUCUAUGUUCUACAGCAGAGUUGAAGGUAUAACAAGAAGUUCCCGACUAGGCAUUGCACCUUCACAAGGAAAGAAUCAAAUACAAGAGGAAGAAGAAAAAAGAAUAUAGACUAGAUGAGGCUUGAUGAUAUUUUAGGCUAAAUUUAGUAGAAUAAGUUGAUCAUACGAGAGAUUUUCCUUUAUAGAGGUCAUUUUCUCUUAUAGAGCUUAUUUUCUUGCUUGCUACAUGUAAGGCAGCUUCCAGUUUUGACAGAAAAAGAACUCCUUUUAGGUUACAAAGCAUUUAGAUUUAACUUGCUUACUUCUGAUUCUGUAGAGAACUUAUAUUUAAAGACAUACUUGGACACUAUGAUGUUUGGAGAUGGGUUUAAGGACAGGAUGCUCUUGGGAUCAUCUAAGUAAGAUCGUCAUUUAGGAAGCAGGGAUUGGACUUACUCCUGUGCAGAAUCGUUCUGUAAUCUUCUGCCUGGUAGUUUUGGAGUGAGCAAAUUAGGUCCAUAUCACAGGUAAGAAGUUGAACAGAAAUUCCAUUCAAAGAAUCACUGCAGAUGUUCCAAUCAGUUGCACAUCUAUAAAUUCAGAACAUAGAGUUCAGCUGAAUUGCACAGGAAGUUAGAAUUGUUCUAUUAACCAGCUCCUUAUCCCUAUUCAUGGUUGGAUUGAAUUAAAGAGUGAUGGAUCUAACAGCCUCGACCAAUCUAGCCAAAGAGGACUUCCAGGAGGAACGUCAAUUCUUUUUUUAUUCUAUUCAACUAAUGGUUCAAUGAAGCAGAAUCUGGCUUGAACUGAACUUCGAAACAAAGUUGGGUGGCUAGAUUUUAGUUUUAAAUCUUCAUGAAAGUUGAAACAUCUUCUAAUGAAAGUUCAGAGCACAGCUUUUUUGGAUGAUUCUAGAGAGUCACAUAUUUGGAUAUGAGGAAAUCAAGCUGCUGAUCUUCUUCCCAGGACACACCCUAUCAUAUACAGAUGAUGAUAAGUUUCUUUUCUUCCCUGCUUUAUCUUCCAUGUACUCUUGAAGAUAAAAAACUGUGCAAGUGUACAUUAGGUAAUAAGGCAUGUAAUCCUGCAUAAAAGCAACUACAAAUUUAAUUUAGCUUUCAGAUAAAGAGUAAUGUGGUACUCAAUUUACACUAUUCUUAGUCACAUAUGCAAAAAUUCAUUCCUAUACAAUAACUGGCCAACUAGAUCCACCAAUAUUGAACAACUUAUGCUUGAAACAGCAAGCUAAUCUAAAAACUCACAUUUAGAGCCAAAAAACAACAAAUAAUGCUUGGGUGAGAUUGUUGUAAAUAGUGUGCCCAUGUAUUGAUUAUGAAACAAACUUUGUUUUAUGAAGUGCAAAUCAACAUUUUGUCAUUAUUUUUAUCUUCUGCCCCAUAAUCCCGUGCAUCACUGGCUACUAGUACAGAAAAAAAGAAAACCAUCCAAAAGCAAUAUAAUGUAUCUUCUUUGUAGUCACAAAUCCUGAUUAAAAUAAAAAAAAAAAAUCUAAACCCUAUUAAGGCCAGUAGCAUCUCUAGGAAAAACACAUUUGCGGGGAAUUCCAGCAGACCAGGGCCUUGAACAAGUGGAUGACAUCAAGCUUCUGCUAAUAUUCAUUUCCCAACUGAUUUGAAAAGAAAUUUACACUACACUCCACUUUGCUACAUAUAAUUGUUGCAGCUGGCAAAAGGCAUGUAAUUUCAUUUACGUAUCAUGUAGCAAGAGAUCACAUGGCAUGAUGUGAAAAUUGGUGUCAGCAAUGACCAUGAACUUGAUCAGCAAGCACUGUCACAUCUAUAUGCAUCACUUUAUGAUCCAUGCAAUAAUUCAUCAAAAUUUGAGAAAGUUUGAUGGCCAGCCCUCAGCUGGAUACCAACCCCCUAAACUAGAACAAAGUUUCAAGCUAACAACAACUCUAGGUAAAAGUAUGGCUAAGAUGAAACAUAAAAGGUUAGCAGGACAAAAGGACAGAAUUUAAGCUUUUCAGGAAAAGAAGCAAUCCUCUAAGGUUCUCGUAUACUUGGAAAGAGCCUAUGCAAAAAGAAGAUAAGGCAAGCUUCAAUAGAGGAAAUCAAAUUCAUCACCGAGGCACAAAGUAUAUACUGAAGUGCCAAAUUGCAGCAUAAUCAUGUCGAUAUUAUGCAGAACCAAAUUCUAUAAAUCCAAGACUGCAAAAUGCCAGGCAAUAUAUUGGACCAGUUAGUGCAGGCACAAUAUGCAGAACAGAGGUGAAGUUCUUUACAAGAAUACCUUAAUCUUUAAUAGUUUAAAAUAACAACGAAAAUAACUUUCAGGAACUUUACGGUUACUUAUCUGCAUCAAAAGGAUGCCAAAUAACAUUAAAAUGAUUGGUAAAUCUUCUGUUGUUUUCAUUAAUAAAUGCAACAGAAAUUAAGUAGAGCAGGAAAAGCCCGCAAGCAAAUCAGUUAAAUAAGACAAGACUCCAUAGUUAAUUCAACUCCAAGAAAAUCAACCAGACGAUACACAACAACAACAAUUACAUAGAAGAAAUGGCCUAUUAGGAAAAGUUCAGAAUCUUUAAGAAGCAGAGCUUUGCCAUCCGAUAUGUGUUUACAAAGAAGAGCCAAACAGCAUAGCCACACAGAAUAAUACUAUCUAUCUCAUGCAAACUAUGGAUAUGAUAAGACUAGGGUCUCUUUAGCAUAUGCUUCCACAGGAAGUAAGAAAAACAACUAAGGAUGACGGCAUAAUGUUUACCGAAUAUCCGACAAUGAACAGAGCAAUACAACCCAUCACAAGGAAAAUGCGAUUACCAACCAAUUGACAAUGGGAAGAAGAAACAUAAAAGUUUAUUCUCAAAAUCAAGUAGGUAAACAGCAACAAUUAUGCAGUUUGGAGGGAAGAUGUUCACAGAACAGUAACCAAACAACAAAACAACAUCGAAACGAGAUGAAUUAUACCCACAAGCACGCAUUCCAAUCAAUCUUUAUCUCCUUACACCGAAAUAUAGAUCAAACCAACAAAAUCUAUCUAUGAACUGAUCAGACAAUAAAGCAACAAAUAUAUAUAUAUAUAUAUAUAUAAAGAAGAUUGGAAAUCUGCAGUUACAAAAUUCUUUACCAGCAUCCGCCCGGUUACAUGGCCAUACAAGUUUCCCUGCUUGAUCCGAGCAUAUGGCCAAGGGAGCAACACCAUCAUGAUCACGCCCCAGACGAUGGUGGUAACCAUCAACGACAGAAAGCAAGCAACAAUCCUAACGACCGACAGGACGACAGUAAUCCAUCUAUCAUCAUCCACAAAGUCAGCCGUGUCGGCCAGCCGGCGACUCGGUUGCCCGGCCGCAUCUUUCGGUGGGGGAAUCGGUGGCCCCAUCGAUCCGAAGCUCGCUUUGAAGCAGCUCUCCAGCCGCCGACCCAGCAAGAACGAACUUGCCCCAGAAGCACCCAUAGCACUAUCCCCCACUUCCCACCUCUAAUACCACUAGCAAGAAAAGCAAACGAGGACUAAGAUAUACUGGAUAUACUGAGAUUAGAAAUAUAUAUAGAUUAUUGAAAGGCUGGUGAAGAGUGCAGAAUUUGAAAAAGUUUUAACUCAAUAUAUUGUGAUGGUACCAUGAAAGAGGUUUGAAGGUUCCGAGUAGGGAACUUGCGAAUAGGUCGGAAUCGGAAUCCAGCAAAGAAUAAAUUCUGUGGGUUCUUCGUGGAGAGAGAAGAAAGAGAAGAUUCUGGAGUGCAGAGCAAAUAGAGAAGAAGAGUAAAGAAUAGUGAUGGGUGGUUUCUAAGGAGAGAGGGUCUGCCGCCGUGGUUGUCUUCGCUAGGAAGGCAUGGUUUUCAAGGGAAUAGUCUUAAGAUCUGAAAAAUUUUAGAUGCAUGCAUCCUAGAAACAACUAAACCUAUAUAUAGAGCCUCCAGCUGGCGCAUAGGGACCACAUAGACAUGGGCCAGAGAUUUGAAUGUCACAAGAAUUGCUCUUGAGAUGGAGAAAUUAUUGUCUGGAUCACGCCCAGAUAGACCAGGCAAAUCCCACGGUGCAUAACACGCCACAUUAUCCUUAUUUUUUACACGGAUCUCCGAUUGUACGUUAUUCAUUGUUUAUGUGCUUCGAGAUUUGUGCUAGUCUACGGGGUUCAGGCUAUAAGUGCUCGUUGAGAUGGGAGUUUCAAGGACACCGAGACCCACGAAAGAGGAGAGGGUCCGAGAUUUAUGACGGGCCCUCGUGGCAGGCAGUGAUUGACUGGCUGCGUGGCGAGCGAUUGACACCAUAUAGAUGAGUGGUAUAAUGGACUUAAAAUCCGUGGGACCAACUUAUUGGACCGCUGAAGUGGCACACAUUUUUGAGCUUGGUUUUGACCUACAAGCCAAACGGAAAGUAGGCGCGGAAAGGGACAGCAAUCUUAUUACCCAGGGAAAGAUGGCGGUCUCUUUGAAACACGUGGAUCGCCUCGUUCGUUCGCACAAACGAACCACUGUUGCGUCUGAUGCAUGGGUUGUUGAUAAACUUUGGGCUGCUGGUAAGAAAACUGUUACGAUCUGAUGCAUGGGUGGUUGGAAACUUGGGACUUCGGCUGAUGGGAAUUGCGGCUGUGUGCCUGCGGGUCGGGGGUGAAUGUGCAGAUAGACGAAUGGCGUUCAGAGAUUUAGGCGGUGGGUAAUCCCACGGUGAUUCGUACGAAGGAAGAUGAUUCAUACGAAGACACAACCCCAACCCAUGCGCCUACUAGCGUCCGGCCUAUGCAUCGGACGUGCUUACAAAAAAAAAUGUACCAGGUGGAUGGCUACGAUGCCAUCGUGUAUCAUCCACAUGAUUUGAUCUAAUUUUUUUAACCAUAAAUCUUAUUUAUAUAAUAAUAAAAAAAAUAAUCGAAUAUUAAGAUAAUAUUUUCUAUUAAUAUAUUAGAUUAUUGGAUAAUCUCCAACGUACCACGUGCUCCUGCCAAACUAACGUAAGAGUAACCUAAUUCGCUCUUCCCCACGAUCGCCUUCCUUCCCACCUUCAGAGAAAAAAAAGGAAAAAAAAAUCUCUUCUCUGCGAUCUCUCUCUCUCCGGAGGAGGAGGAGGAGGAGAGACGUCGCUGACAUUCGUCGUAUCUGUGACCCUUGAAGAGCUCGAGAGCGAGAAAGAGAGAGAGCGAGGGAGAGAGGGACCAUGCGCUCUUUGGGGUCUCGCCUUGACGUCCAUAGCGGCAGCAAGGCCAACGCCAUCGCUGGCUUCUUCUCCACGUCCACCAUCGUCGAGGCUGCCAUCGUCGUGCUUCUCUUGAAAAGCUUCUCGCGGGACAAGCGGCCGUCGAAGGUGAAGAAGAUCUGGAGGAUGUCAUCGGCCGUACUCUCCAUCCGGCCCAGCAUCUUGGCGAUGUGGCGGACGGCGGCAAGCAACGUGGCUUAAGGGAGAGGGGAAAAAGGCGCUCCGACGAGCAGCACUCGGGACAGUGCUUCCCCUAGCUGAACUACGUCCGCUCACCCGAGCAGCGCUCUGCCAACAGCGGAAGGAGCUUUCGCCCGAAGAGCGCUCUGCCGACGCGACGGUGCGGGAGCUGCUGGAGGCCAGGGCGGAUGCAGUGGCGGUGGACGGGCGGGGGAGAACGGUGCUGGAGUUGGCGAGGGAGGUGCUGGCGGUGACGCCGAUGGUGGCGCUGGGGAGGCGGGCGGGGGUGGCGACGGCGGCUGAGCUGGAGGGGGCGGUAUACGAGUGGGCAGACGUGGAAAGGGUGGUGGAGGAGAGGGGGAAGGGGAAGAGGAGGGAGUACUUGCUGGAGUGUAAGGAUGGAAGGAGGGAGUGGGUGAGGAAGGAGUGGGUCGUGGGAUUGGGGAGAUCCUGGAGAUGGAGGCUUCUGCGUAUUUUGGGAAGGAAGGGGAACGGCGUUGGGCUGGGGAGAGAGAGGAGGUUAAGGGGAAGAAGGACUAGUGGAUGGCGCGGGAGUUGUCGAUGCUGGCACAGAGCAGGGGAGAAUAAGAGGAUAUGAGGCGGCGGAUGUGGACGUCGUCAAAGCCAUGGAUUCACUGUGGAUCUGAGGGCGGUAAGGUGUUUGGAGGCUCUGAUGGCAUUGUCUUUGGGGAAGCCGUAAGAGGUGAUGAGGUACUCCACUAUGAAAUUGGGCUUGGGAGGUCGGUCCUCCCCCAAGGAGGAGGUGGCGGCGGCGGCGGAGAUGGAAGGAGGGGAGGAGGGACGCUGAAGGAGUGAUCUUAGGGAAAGGGAGGGGGUAAAAGAGGAGGGAGGACUUGAACGCCAACAUGCUUGAAGAGUUGGAGAGGGAGAGGGAGAGCUCUCGUGAGGCCUUGGCGGGGCUUUGGAGGACGUCUCUGGUCGGACUUGCUUCAAAAAUCAUUACAUAGAAAUGUUCAUUUGCCCAUCUGCCGCUUAAGGAAAAAUAGAAUCUAUAACAGAGAAAAAAAAACUCUCCCAUGCCAGCGUUGUGGACAAGCUGAUUCUUUUUAGAUGGAAUCAGGUUUGUAAUUUACAUCUAUGAUGACUUCAAACCACCGAUCUAACCUAAAUUGAUAGGGGGAAAGUAGAAAUUCAAACUCAAGCACAUGAUGCAAUUUAUGAACCAUACGAAGAAAUGAUCGUAUAUCCGAUCAAUCAGAUCAGGAUGCAGCAAAAUUUUAAAAAUUUUUGAUUCGAUGUGCGAUCCGAUUGAAAUCCGAUUUCGAUCGUGACCAGAUCGAUCAUACAUCUAGAUUAAGAGAAAAAUAAAGAUUUAAACAAUUUAAAUCAGAAUAUAAGAUGAUCACAUCAUCUUGUGUGAAUAGAUAAACAUCACAGUCCAAUGAUCGUGGAGUUUUGAGGUUCGCUGUUGAGCCGCGCAUGUGUCCGGCCUCUAUAGGUAUUCAUUCGGGCUUGGACUAGGAUGUUCUCUCCAUCUUCGAUCCGUCUACUCCUAGAUGGAUCUGCAAGCUCCUGGAUCAGCUUCAAAUCUGAUCUUUGAUAGGAUUCCGAUCAGUAUUUGAUCGCAGUUUUUUUAUUCCUUCAUGUAGUUUGGAUGGAAUUCAACACCUUGAGAUCACCAGAUGGCCGUCCAAUACCUUUGGACAUGGGAGAGGAUGUGAGAUCAGAGAGAAGAAGGGAGAUGGCAUGGAGAAGAGCAGAGGAGACGUAGAGAUUUUUUUAUGAUCAGCACUAGUAUCAAACGAUUUAACAGGAUACCUUUUUAUAGACAUUUGAUCGGAUCAAAUGUCUUAAAGUAGGACUCUGUUUGAUACCGCACAUCCUGAUUUUUCCCUUAUUUUGUCACACAAAACCAUCGAGGAAUUCAGAUGGGGUGAGUGCCAUGGAUAAGGUUGUUGUCAUCCAAAUCAAUCCUCCCACAUUUCAAAUUCAAAUACUUCAAAUUUGAAUCUCAAUUCAAAUCUAAAUUUAAAUUCAGAUAUAACCAUAUCAUUCUUAUCCUCAUCAGCAAGAGGAUGGGGUUUAUCCUCUUCUCUCCCCCUCCCUUAUCUCCAAGUGGUGCAUGCCCCUUGAUCUUAUCCAUAUGGGGCGUCCCACCCUUUCUGCGAAGAAAAGUCACGAUGAAAAAUGUGGGGCGCCAACUAUUGGCACCUCUCCCAUCUUUUAAUUAUUACAUAGAAGACUUGCUUUAGGGAAUCUAACUCUUAUUAUCCAAAAUAAGCUUGCUUAGUUUUGGUCAAGCCCUAUCUAAUAAGAAACCCAAAUCAAAUAGGAGAGAAUGAAUUUAACCAUAUGCUAGCAUAGUUUUCUUAAAUUCAAAAUUAAGAUUUAAUUAAUCCUAAUCCAAUCAGAUUAUACUUAACCCAAUUGUACAAUCUUAGAUCAAAAUAUUUAUUUUGAUGACCCCAUAGGUUCGAUUCUGUCUGAUAAUGAGAUAUGUUAUGAUCUCUAUCAGUAAAAUUAUCGAAAUUCUUUUUGAUAGAUCGAAACUCUUUUCAAUUCAAUCAAUUAGAAUUAUUGAUCAUCGACAUAAUUCUAAUUGGUCCCACAAUCCAUCAGUGACAUCUAGUAGUAUAUUGUGGCAAUCUAGCAGAACUGAAUGAUGAAUCUCUAAGUACAGUUACCGUAUAAUUCGAUUUCUCUAUCAUGAGUUUCAACAAGAUAUAGGUUAAAGAUAACUCGUCAAAUCUGAUUCUUGUCAUAUAUUAGAAUCAAUUGACUCAAUUUUAAUGUGAAACCUAAUAGAAACACCUUUCUAUUUUUUCACAUUGCCAUGGUCAUGGACUUUAGGACUCAAUCUUAUGAUCUACAUAGAAUUAUUUCUCAUCUAUCGAGAUCGAUAGAUCAUAUCUUAAUGUAUAUUCUAUUCCUACAGUGAGUCUAUUGCAGUCAAUUACACCUCAGAUUUCAUGUGACUAAAAAAUCGAGCUAUGGUAUAGUCAAACUACAGCAACCUUAUUGUAAACAGUCGAGAUACCGCAAGUCAAAGAACUAGUCACACUAUUGCAAUAUCGAAUUAGUCACGGAUGAGUACGUAGACAUUCUAGUGGCUAUUCGUGUUUGGUUAUGCUUAGUACCAUUAUUUCCUAACAAACACUUGCACUCUCACUCUGGUAUCUCUACACUGUAGAUUUAAGACUCAUCUAUCCUGAGGAAGCGAUUGUGUACCAAUCUCUUUAGAUCAAAUACUAUCUCCAUAAUGAUCUUAUGAUCGAAAGCAAUUUAUAAAUUAAUUAUAAUGACCUAUGUCUCAAAUUUUCAACCCUUGAGAAUAUGUAUUAUUAUUUUCAUUAACUCAAAGGACGAUUCAUAGCACUUAAAGCACAAAUAUGAAUAGAAAUAAACCCAACUUUAUUAAUUUAUAAGUCAAUAUUAUAAAAUAUGUCCUAAGAAAAUUUUAUAAGUGUUGGUCAAUCUGACUUUUAGGACAUACAUCUAACAAUCUCUCACUUGAUCUAAAGCCAAUUGACUACAAAUCUAAGUUCCAUCUUCUCAAGGUAGGCUUCAAUCUUUUGUUGGCUUAAUUGCUUCAUCAGUGGAUCAACUACAUUAUUUGCAGUAUCGAUUCUCUUCACCUCGACGUAUCCCUUCUCGAGAUAAUCGUAGAUAAGAUGGAAUCAUCACUCGAUGUACUUGGAUUUUUGAUGAGACCUCGACUCCUUAGUGAGAGCUAUGGCUGUCAGAUAUAUAUUCUAGAAGCUAAUUAUUGACUGACACAUUAUUCAUUCUAUAAUACAAAUUUAUACUUAAACUAUUGAUUUAAUUAAUGAAGGAUAAGUUUUCUUUUUCCAUUCAAGUAUUAUGUGUCCUUGGAUCAUCCUUGGAAUUAAUGUUAUAAUACAUAUUCUCAAGUAUUGAAAAUUAAGAUCAUGUAUGAUCGAUUUCUAAAUUACUUCUGAUCAUAGGAUAGUCAUUGGGACGGUGAUCGAUCUAGAUAGAUCAGGACAUGGUUCACUUUCUUUGGGGUAGAUGAGUUUCUAGUUUACGGUGUAGAGACACUAAACGACAAGUACAGAUAGUUGUUAGAGAAUAACUAAUACUGAGCGUGACCAUAUAAAAGAUCACAUGAAUUUCUAUUCAAUCGUCAGUGAUCAUCUCGAUGCAGUAGUUGUGUGACUAGUCCUUUAAUCUGUGAUGUCACAGGUUCUCAUAGUAAGAUUGCUAUAGUUUGACUACAUAUAAAUAUUGACUCAAUUAUGAAUUUUUAUAGUGGAUGUUGGCUUCAAUUAAUUGAGAUGUGGAAGUAACGUGUGCAUCUAGAUGAGAUCUAUCAACUUUGAUAGAGAGGAGUAUGUUAGGUGAGUGUCCUAGAAGCCAAUUAUUGAUUGACAUAUUUUAUAAUUUCAGAGCUUAACUUUGUACUUGUAAUAUUUUUACCAUUAAUAAAAGGAUAUUUUUAUUUCUAAUCAUGUUUAUAUGUCCAUGAUUUAUCCUAAAAAUUAAUAAAGAUGAUUUUUAUAUAUUCUCAAGAUGUUGAGAAUUUGAGACGUACAUUAUUAGUGGUUAGUUUCUAAAUAUUCUCGAUUAAAGGAUCGUCAUGGAGGAUAGUGACAAUCCAUUUAAGAUCAAUGCACGGAUCACCUUUCUUCUGGAUAGAUGAGUCUCGGAUCUGCAGUAUAGAGAUACUGAGAUGAGAGUAUAGAUGGUUGUUAGAGAACAACUUACACUGAGCGUGACCAACACGAAAAAUCACUUGGAUGACUACUCACUCAUCAAUGGUUGUCUCGAUGCUGCAGUGGUGUUAGUGGUCCUUUGACCUGAGGUGUCAUCGGCUAUUUGCAACAAGAUUAUUGAGUUUGACUACACAUUCUUUUGGUUCCUGACCAUUCGGAUCCUUAUUGUGUAUGUUGGUUUUAUUAAAUUCAGGUUCGUUGUUAGGAGUAGCAUGCACGUAGAUAGAAUCUAUUGAUCUUGAUAAAAAAGAAAAAGUCUUAUGUAACUUGCGAGAUUGAGUUCAGAAAAUUUUUGGCCAAAACAAGAGUGAAUACUAAAAAAGAGUUUUCAAAAAAUUCACAAGUAAACUCGAGUCGAGACAUUCUUGUAUAUGACUAAUGAUAAGAUUUGAUGAGUUCUCCAUGAUCUCCGUCAAGUCAGAACUCACGAUAGAAAGACUGAAUCAUACGAUAACUGUACCUAGGAGUUCAUUAUUUUAUUUACUAGAUUAUCACUAUAUAUUGUUAAGUAUCACUAGUAGAUUGUGGGACUCAUUGGACGUCAUCUUGAUGAUCGAUGACCCUCGGAGGGUAGAGUUGGAAUUGUUCCAACCCAUUAAAAGGAGUUUCGAUGAUAUUAUGAUGGAGAUCACAAUAUAUCUCACUACUAAAUAAAAUGAAAUAUAUGAGAUCACACACAAAAGAGGUUCUUGUCUGAUCAGAUGUUAAUUAAUGAUUAUAAAUCAUUAAAGGAUAUAAUUAUUAAUAUGAUUGAUGAUUAAUCUCAUACAAAUAUUGUAAUUAUAUAAUUCACUAAGUGUUAGUGAAUUAUAGAAAGAUUAAUUAGCAACUGAAUUACUAAUUGACUCAAUUUGAUUGAGCAAUGAGGUUCGGAUUAAGUCUAAUUGAAUUGGAUUCAUUUUGACUUAGAUUGGAUUUGAUUGGAUCAAGCCUAAUUGCGAGAAAAAUUAAUUUUUGAUUUGAUCAAGAUUUGGAUUUAGUUAAUUCCUAAUUAGAUUAGAAUUUGAUUAAGUGGAUUGGGUUUCUAAUUUGAUUAGAUUUCAUUAUCUAUUUGGAUCAAACUAAAUCUAAUUUGGUUUAAACCAAAAUAGGAAACCCUAGAGUCCCAUCUCCCUAAGACUCUUUCUCCCCUUGCAUGUCCUAGGUUUCAUGCCAAGAAACCUCAUGCAAAAAAGAUUUUUGCAUUGAGGUAUUUGCAUGAAAGAGAGGAUGGCACAAGAAGGGGGGACGGCACAUGGUUAUGACUCAUCAUCCUUAUCCAUUCCAUAUUUGAAUUUGAUUCAAAUCUUGUGAUAAGGAUUAGAUGGAAAGAGAUCAAGGGAUAAUGAAAAACUUUUGUGGCGCCACCCUAUCUUUUUUCAUAUUGAGAAAGAGUUGUGAGUGAGAAGAAAUCAGAUCUGAUUUCUUCUCAUGCCAUUCCCAUCUUUGGUGCAUAAAGGUGGAUGCCC
rnacentral:lncRNA from 1 species